CGCCGAAGGGGAUGCGGUGGCUGCCGUCGCCCUGCCAGGGCGGCACGAACGAGAGCGGUUGUUCGGGGGCGUUCAUCGGCGGCC
rnacentral:tRNA from 3 species